CCUACGGGAGGCAGCAGUAAGGAAUAUUGGUCAAUGGACGAAAGUCUGAACCAGCCAUGCCGCGUGAAGGAUGAAGGCCCUCUGGGUUGUAAACUUCUUUUAUAGGGGACGAAAAAAGGGCAUUCUUGCUCACUUGACGGUACCCUAGGAAUAAGCACCGGCUAACUCCGUGCCAGCAGCCGCGGUAAUACGGAGGGUGCAAGCGUUAUCCGGAUUUACUGGGUUUAAAGGGUGCGUAGGUGGGUUGGUAAGUCAGCGGUGAAAUCUUCGAGCUUAACUCGGAAACUGCCAUUGAUACUAUCAAUCUUGAAUCAUCUAGAGGUAAGCGGAAUAUGUCAUGUAGCGGUGAAAUGCUUAGAUAUGACAUAGAACACCAAUUGCGAAGGCAGCUUACUAUGGAUGUAUUGACACUGAGGCACGAAAGCGUGGGGAUCAAACAGGAUUAGAUACCCUGGUAGUCCACGCCCUAAACUAUGGAUACUCGACAUUUGCGAUAUACUGUAAGUGUCUGAGCGAAAGCAUUAAGUAUCCCCACCUCGGAGUACGAGCGCGAGAGUAGAAACGUACGAAAGAAAGUUAGUACGGCGUAGAGACGUAGACCGAACGGACGACGACGAGGGGAGGUUAGGG
rnacentral:rRNA from 1 species